GGAAGGAAGACAGACCUGCCCAUACUUUGAUUUUAGCUUCUGAGCUCCUGAAUGGUUUUAUCUCAGAUAAAUUUAGUGUCGGCUGAGUCUGCUGUGACAGCCCCUCUUUCGUUCCUGCUCUCCAAGUCUUUGCAGUCCUGUUUGGAUCUGACCUGCUAGGACUGGAGAUCCAGUUUUCAUUUGACUCUCUGCCUGCACGAACAGUGCUACAGAGGCAUUCUCCUGCAUAUUCUCCUGUGGACCAUGUGAAAAUUUGCCUUGGAGGAAAGAGUGCCAGCAGCUUGCUUGACGUCACCAUGCUGAAGAGCCUGGAUGUAAUUCGCUGGUAAGCCUGUG